rnacentral:tRNA from 1 species
UUAGCUCAUUUCGGUAGAACGUGGGUCUCCAAAACCCGAUGGUGUAGGUUCAAAUCCUAGCA